AAUUAAUGAGCUUGUAAAGCAUUUGUUUUGAAAACUUAAAAAAGAAUUUAUUAAAUAUUCUAUUAAUUU
rnacentral:tRNA from 1 species